AAACACACAUUAUAUGUGUGUGGAUCGAAAAGAACGCAGGAAGGGGGCGACCAAACCACCUUCAAACCCUAGCUUCAACAAUUGAUCAAAUUGAGGGCUCCAAUCUGUUCCAAAUCGAUUUCCAAGCAUAAAUUAGUGAUCAUCUUAGCGAAAUGAUCAUAAGGCAAAGCGGGUGAAUCUUCAAGCAGCCAAAUUGGGAAAGACGCGCGCUUGAAGGAUAAGCUAUAAGGUGAUAUUCCGGAUAGUGGUCAAGCAAAUGUCGAGAAAUGAACACAGCAUUUUAAAGCUUCCGCAAGCAUGACUUUUGUUUUAGCUUAACAUGGAUCUUGUAUUACUUAAAAUUACACUAUAUUUGUUUUUAACUAGCAAAGCGGGUGAAUCUUCAAGCAGCCAAAUUGGGAAAGACGCGCGCUUGAAGGAUAAGCUAUAAGGUGAUAUUCCGGAUGGUGGUCAAGCAAAUGUCGAGAACUGAACACAACAUUUUAAAGCUUCCGCAAGCAUGACUUUUGUUUUAGCUUAACAUGGAUCUUGUAUUACUUAAAAUUACACUAUAUUUGUUUUUAACUAGUAAGGAUUAAAAUACUAGACACUUUAAUUAGUAGGAACUAUGAACUUACGGAAAAUUUUUGUUAACCCGUAUUUCACGCAAACUAAAUGCGUACUUAGUAGUAAAUUCAUAUUAAAUUAAGACGGGUGUUACAAAA